rnacentral:rRNA from 1 species
CGCGUAGGCGGAAUGGCAAGUCGGUCGUGAAAUCCUUCGGCUCAACCGAAGAACGUCGAUCGAAACUGCCGUUCUUGAGGAUUGCAGAGGAGACUGGAAUUCCCGGUGUAGAGGUGAAAUGUGUAGAGAUCGGGAGGAACACCGGUGGCGAAGGCGGGUCUCUGGGCAAUUCCUGACGCUGAGGCGCGAAAGCGUGGGGAGCAAACGG